GAUGAACGCUGGCGGCGUGCCUAAUACAUGCAAGUCGAGCGAACAGACGAGGAGCUUGCUCCUCUGACGUUAGCGGCGGACGGGUGAGUAACACGUGGAUAACCUACCUAUAAGACUGGGAUAACUUCGGGAAACCGGAGCUAAUACCGGAUAAUAUAUUGAACCGCAUGGUUCAAUAGUGAAAGACGGUUUUGCUGUCACUUAUAGAUGGAUCCGCGCCGCAUUAGCUAGUUGGUAAGGUAACGGCUUACCAAGGCAACGAUGCGUAGCCGACCUGAGAGGGUGAUCGGCCACACUGGAACUGAGACACGGUCCAGACUCCUACGGGAGGCAGCAGUAGGGAAUCUUCUGCAAUGGGCGAAAGCUUGACGGAGCAACGCCGCGUGAGUGAUGAAGGUCUUCGGAUCGUAAAACUCUGUUAUUAGGGAAGAACAAAUGUGUAAGUAACUAUGCACGUCUUGACGGUACCUAAUCAGAAAGCCACGGCUAACUACGUG
rnacentral:rRNA from 1 species